CACUCCUACGGGAGGCAGCAGUGGGGAAUAUUGCACAAUGGGCGCAAGCCUGAUGCAGCCAUGCCGCGUGUAUGAAGAAGGCCUUCGGGUUGUAAAGUACUUUCAGCGGGGAGGAAGGCGAUAAGGUUAAUAACCUUGUUGAUUGACGUUACCCGCAGAAGAAGCACCGGCUAACUCCGUGCCAGCAGCCGCGGUAAUACGGAGGGUGCAAGCGUUAAUCGGAAUUACUGGGCGUAAAGCGCACGCAGGCGGUCUGUCAAGUCGGAUGUGAAAUCCCCGGGCUCAACCUGGGAACUGCAUUCGAAACUGGCAGGCUAGAGUCUUGUAGAGGGGGGUAGAAUUCCAGGUGUAGCGGUGAAAUGCGUAGAGAUCUGGAGGAAUACCGGUGGCGAAGGCGGCCCCCUGGACAAAGACUGACGCUCAGGUGCGAAAGCGUGGGGAGCAAACAGGAUUAGAUACCCGGGUAGUCCCA
rnacentral:rRNA from 1 species